rnacentral:rRNA from 1 species
ACGGAAGGCAGCAGUGGGGAAUAUUGCACAAUGGGGGAAACCCUGAUGCAGCGACGCCGCGUGAGUGAAGAAGUAUCUCGGUAUGUAAAGCUCUAUCAGCAGGGAAGAAAAUGACGGUACCUGACUAAGAAGCCCCGGCUAACUACGUGCCAGCAGCCGCGGUAAUACAUAGGGGGCAAGCGUUAUCCGGAUUUACUGGGUGUAAAGGGAGCGUAGACGGUCUGGCAAGUCUGAUGUGAAAGGCAGGGGCUCAACUCCUGGACUGCAUUGGAAACUGUCGGACUGGAGUGCCGGAGAGGUAAGCGGAAUUCCUAGUGUAGCGGUGAAAUGCGUAGAUAUUAGGAGGAACACCAGUGGCGAAGGCGGCUUACUGGACGGUAACUGACGUUGAGGCUCGAAAGCGUGGGGAGCAAACAGGAUUAGAUACCCUGGUA